UACAGAGGUCUCAAGCGUUGUUCGGAUUCAUUGGGCGUAGAGGGCGCGUAGGCGGCGGGGUAAGUCGGGUGUGAAAUCUCAGGGCUCAACCCUGAAACUGCACUCGAUACUGCUCUGCUUGAGGACUGGAGAGGAGACUGGAAUUCACGGUGUAGCAGUGAAAUGCGUAGAUAUCGUGAGGAAGACCAGUGGCGAAGGCGGGUCUCUGGACAGUUCCUGACGCUGAGGCGCGAAGGCCAGGGGAGCAAACGGG
rnacentral:rRNA from 1 species